rnacentral:rRNA from 1 species
AGGGAAUCUUCCGCAAUGGACGAAAGUCUGACGGAGCAACGCCGCGUGAGUGAUGAAGGUUUUCGGAUCGUAAAGCUCUGUUGCCAGGGAAGAACGUCUUCUGGAGUAACUGCCAGGAGAGUGACGGUACCUGAGAAGAAAGCCCCGGCUAACUACGUACCAGCAGCCGCGGUAAUACGUAGGGGGCAAGCGUUGUCCGGAAUUAUUGGGCGUAAAGCGCGCGCAGGCGGCUGUUUAAGUCUGGUGUUUAAUCCUGGGGCUCAACCCCGGGUCGCACUGGAAACUGGACGGCUUGAGUGCAGAAGAGGAAAGUGGAAUUCCACGUGUAGCGGUGAAAUGCGUAGAGAUGUGGAGGAACACCAGUGGCGAAGGCGACUCUCUGGUCUGUAACUGACGCUGAGGCGCGAAAGCGUGGGGAGCAAAC